GCUGCAAAGGAUAGGGGGUGACCCUGAAAGGCAGUCAAGUUGGCCUCCAAUGCAAGAAGCACCUGAGACAGAAAGGGAAAGAGAGAAAGGCUUGAGAUGCCAGUAGGGGUGCGGAGAGUGCUGGGAGGCAAGUGAGCAGCUGGUGGUGGUGGGACCUGGUGGCGGGCCAACUUGCUCCAGUGACCGCUCGGAAAGCAGGGAAUUGCCUCAGCAGACGGGAGCAGAGGUUGGCCCCAUCCCCUCAAUAAUCAACUCCUGCAAGAAUUUUGGUGCCAGCUUCAAACAACCAUGAAGUCCAAAAUGCACCUGUCCUCUU
rnacentral:lncRNA from 1 species